rnacentral:rRNA from 1 species
GACGUAGGGUGCGAGCGUUGUCCGGAUUUAUUGGGCGUAAAGAGCUCGUAGGCGGCUCGUCGCGUCGACCGUGAAAACCCGCGGCUUAACUGCGGGCUUGCGGUUGAUACGGGCGGGCUAGAGUUCGGUAGGGGAGACUGGAAUUCCUGGUGUAGCGGUGAAAUGCGCAGAUAUCAGGAGGAACACCGGUGGCGAAGGCGGUUCUCUGGGCAUUACCUGACGCUGAGGAGCGAAAGUGUGGGGAGCGAACAGG